rnacentral:rRNA from 1 species
AUUGAACGCUGGCGGCAUGCCUUACACAUGCAAGUCGAACGGCAGCAUAGGAGCUUGCUCCUGAUGGCGAGUGGCGAACGGGUGAGUAAUAUAUCGGAACGUGCCCUAGAGUGGGGGAUAACUAGUCGAAAGACUAGCUAAUACCGCAUACGAUCUACGGAUGAAAGUGGGGGAUCGCAAGACCUCAUGCUCCUGGAGCGGCCGAUAUCUGAUUAGCUAGUUGGUGGGGUAAAAGCCUACCAAGGCGACGAUCAGUAGCUGGUCUGAGAGGACGACCAGCCACACUGGGACUGAGACACGGCCCAGACUCCUACGGGAGGCAGCAGUGGGGAAUUUUGGACAAUGGGGGCAACCCUGGUCCAGCAAUGCCGCGUGAGUGAUGAAGGCCUUCGGGUUGUAAAGCUCUUUUGUCAGGGAAGAAACGGUAGUAGCUAAUAUCUAUUACUAAUGACGGUACCUGAAGAAUAAGCACCGGCUAACUACGUGCCAGCCGCCGAGGUAAUAC